rnacentral:rRNA from 1 species
AGAACGAACGCUGGCGGCAUGCCUAAUACAUGCAAGUCGAACGAACUCUUCGGAGUUAGUGGCGCACGGGUGCGUAACGCGUGGGAAUCUGCCCCUUGGUUCGGAAUAACAGUUGGAAACGACUGCUAAUACCGGAUGAUGACGAAAGUCCAAAGAUUUAUCGCCAAGGGAUGAGCCCGCGUAGGAUUAGCUAGUUGGUGAGGUAAAGGCUCACCAAGGCAACGAUCCUUAGCUGGUCUGAGAGGAUGAUCAGCCACACUGGGACUGAGACACGGCCCAGACUCCUACGGGAGGCAGCAGUAGGGAAUAUUGGACAAUGGGCGAAAGCCUGAUCCAGCAAUGCGCGUGAGUGAUGAAGGCCUUAGGGUUGUAAAGCUCUUUUACCCGGGAUGAUAAUGACAGUACCGGAGAAUAAGCUCCGGCUAAACUCCGUGCCCGCACGCCGC